CAGCCCGGACAUGGAAAGGAUUGACAGAUCAAUAGCUCUUUCUCGAUUCUGUGGGUGGUGGUGCAUGGCCGUUCUUAGUUGGUGGAACGAUUUGUCUGAUUAAUUCUGAUACAAUAAAAUACAGAGGUAUAAAAUACACAGUAUAAAAUCCAACAAUAUAAAAUACAUAACAAUCAGAACAGAUUAAUAUAUCAACUCUACAACACAGCUUCAGAAUAACAGAAGCAGAGAAGGCAAAUAUCAGUUCCAGGGUUG
rnacentral:ncRNA from 1 species